rnacentral:lncRNA from 1 species
GAACAAGAUGUCAUACAGGAGGCGUGGAAUGGUACUUGGAACCGUGUUGGAGAACUGGACACCAAGUAGCUGGGACAGAUUUGCACAAUCUGACUUGUGCCUGCAGAGCAGUGAGUGGAUGAGCCUGGAAGCUAGCAGUGUUCUGGCAUUCUCCCAACAUAACUGGCAAAGGAAGGACACUGAACUCUGGUCAAACCCAAGGCUGUACUACAGGAGCUCUCUAGAGCUCCAGGAACAGGUACUUGCCUCCCUUUG